rnacentral:rRNA from 1 species
CACGUAGGGCGCGAGCGUUGUCCGGAAUUAUUGGGCGUAAAGAGCUCGUAGGCGGCCUGUUGCGUCCGCUGUGAAAGCCCGGGGCUUAACCCCGGGUCGGCAGUGGAUACGGGCAGGCUAGAGGUAGGUAGGGGAGAAUGGAAUUCCCGGUGUAGUGGUGGAAUGCGUAGAGAUCGGGAGGAACACCUGUGGCGAAGGCGGGUCUCUGGACAGUUCCUGACGCUGAGGCACGAAGGUCAGGGGAGCAAACGGG